AGGGAAUCUUCCACAAUGGACGCAAGUCUGAUGGAGCAACGCCGCGUGAGUGAAGAAGGUUUUCGGACCGUAAAGCUCUGUUGUUGGUGAAGAAGGAUAGAGGCAGUAACUGGUCUUUAUUUGACGGUAAUCAACCAGAAAGUCACGGCUAACUACGUGCCAGCAGCCGCGGUAAUACGUAGGUGGCAAGCGUUGUCCGGAUUUAUUGGGCGUAAAGCGAGCGCAGGCGGAAUUGAUAAGUCUGAUGUGAAAGCCCACGGCUCAACCGUGGAACUGCAUCGGAAACUGUCAUUCUUGAGUGCAGAAGAGGAGAGUGGAACUCCAUGUGUAGCGGUGGAAUGCGUAGAUAUAUGGAAGAACACCAGUGGCGAAGGCGGCUCUCUGGUCUGCAACUGACGCUGAGGCUCGAAAGCAUGGGUAGCGAACAGGAUUAGAUACCCUGGUAGUCCAUGCCGU
rnacentral:rRNA from 1 species